UACGUAGGGUGCGAGCGUUGUCCGGAAUUAUUGGGCGUAAAGGGCUCGUAGGCGGUUUGUCGCGUCGGGAGUGAAAACCUUGGGCUUAACUCAGGGCUUGCUUUCGAUACGGGCAGACUAGAGGUAUGCAGGGGAGAACGGAAUUCCUGGUGUAGCGGUGAAAUGCGCAGAUAUCAGGAGGAACACCGGUGGCGAAGGCGGUUCUCUGGACAGUUCCUGACACUGAGGCACGAAGGCCAGGGGAGCAAACGGG
rnacentral:rRNA from 1 species